GUCCACGCCCUAAACGAUGAUGACUAGUUGUUGGAGGAGUUAAAUCCUUUAGUAACGCAGCUAACGCGAGAAGUCAUCCGCCUGGGGAGUACGGUCGCAAGAUUAAAACUCAAAGGAAUUGACGGGGGCCCCGCACAAGCGGUGGAUGAUGUGGUUUAAUUCGAUGCAACGCGAAAACCUUACCUACCCUUGACAUGUCAGGAAUCCUCCAGAGACGGGGGAGUGCCCGAAAGGGAGCCUGAACACAGGUGCUGCAUGGCUGUCGU
rnacentral:rRNA from 1 species